GCGUCUGAAGAGGAGCCUGCGGCAGAUUAGCUAGUUGGUAAGGUAACGGCUUACCAAGGCGAUGAUCUGUAGCCGGCCUGAGAGGGCGGUCGGCCACACUGACACUGACAUACGGGUCAG
rnacentral:rRNA from 1 species